rnacentral:rRNA from 1 species
CCUACGGGUGGCAGCAGUGAGGAAUAUUGGUCAAUGGGCGGAAGCCUGAACCAGCCAAGUAGCGUGCGGGAAGAAGGCCCUACGGGUCGUAAACCGCUUUUGCACGGGAAUAACAGACUCCACGUGUGGAGGUCUGCAAGUACCGGGAGAAUAAGGGCCGGCUAAUUCCGUGCCAGCAGCCGCGGUACCACGGAGGGUCCGAGCGUUAUCCGGAUUGAUUGGGCUUAAAGGGAGCGUAGGCGGGCGUUCAAGUCAGCUGUAAAAUCGCGCGGCUCAGCCGCGCCCCGCAGUUGAAACUGGACGCCUUGAGUUCGUAACAGGCAGGCGGAAUUCGUGGUGUAGCGGUGAAAUGCAUAGAUAUCACGAGGAACCCCGAUUGCGAAGGCAGCCUGCCGGGGUUCGACUGACGCUGAGGCUCGAAGGUGCGGGUAUCAAACAGGAUUAGAUACCCCUGUAGUC